UUUACCAAAAACAUCGCCUCUUGACAAAAUAUAAGAGGUCCAGCCUGCCCAGUGACCUAGUUCAACGGCCGCGGUAUCCUAACCGUGCGAAGGUAGCGUAAUCACUUGUUCUUUAAAUGAGGACUAGUAUGAAUGGCACCACGAGGGUUAAGCUGUCUCCUUUUUCUAAUCAGUGAAACUAAUCUCCCCGUGAAGAAGCGGGGAUUAUAUUAUAAGACGAGAAGACCCUAUGGAGCUUAAAACAAAUUAACACCUGCUUCUGCCUAAUUUACUUCAUGAAUUAACAUAUAAAGUAUAGCAUCGCUGAUUAAUAGUUUUCGAUUGGGGUGAUCAUGGAGUAAAAAAUAACCUCCACGACGAAAAGGAACACUUCCCUGAGCCAAAAGCCACAACUUUAAGCACUAAAAAAUUGACGCACUUUGACCCAAAUUUUUGAGCAACGAACCAAGUUACCCUAGGGAUAACAGCGCAAUCCACUUCAAGAGCCCCUAUCGACAAGUGGGUUUACGACCUCGAUGUUGGAUCAGGGUGUCCCAGUGGUGC
rnacentral:rRNA from 1 species